GAUGAAGAACGUAGCGAAAUGCGAUAAGUAAUGCGAAUUGCAGAUUUCAGUGAGUCAUCGAAUCUUUGAACGCACAUUGCGCCCGCCAGUAUUCUGGCGGGCAUGCCUGUUCGAGCGUCAUUUCAACCAUCAAGCCCCCGGGCUUGCGUUGGGGCCCUGCGGCUGCCGCAGGCCCCGAAAAGCAGUGGCGGGCUCGCUGUCACACCGAGCGCAGUAGCGAUUCUCGCUCCGGGCGUCGGCGGCGGGCACCGGCCGUGAAACCCCCCUACAUCCACAAGGUUGACCUCGGAUCAGGUAGGAAUACCCGCUGAACUUAAGCAUAUCAAUAAGCGGAGGA
rnacentral:misc_RNA from 1 species